AUGACAGCUCAUGGCAGAGACAUAGUCAUAAACAUGGAUUUCCAUGAUGCUAUCGCUCGCCCAUGCUAUUGUCACCGUGAGGUGUUAAGCAUUCAUAUUUCGGAAGAAUUGGAUGACAAAAGGGCUAAUGGAGCACCUACCAGCAAGAGAUCAAGUUUUAACCUUAGCUGGUGUAUCACUAGGAUCUGGAGUAUUACAUCAAGAAGUUUAAGAUGGAUAUGCAGGAAGCUAUAUUUGAUAAGGAGGCAAUUCGUGAAGCACUCGGAACCAGAAGCUGAAAGUAGCCAAGCUGGAGAAGCUAAACCUCGAGAUACCGGAGAUUUGUCAGGAACUGAAGGAUAG
rnacentral:rRNA from 1 species